rnacentral:rRNA from 1 species
UUGUUCGGAAUCACUGGGCGUAAAGCGUGCGUAGGCUGUUUCGUAAGUCGUGUGUGAAAGGCGCGGGCUCAACCCGCGGACGGCACAUGAUACUGCGAGACUAGAGUAAUGGAGGGGGAACCGGAAUUCUCGGUGUAGCAGUGAAAUGCGUAGAUAUCGAGAGGAACACUCGUGGCGAAGGCGGGUUCCUGGACAUUAACUGACGCUGAGGCACGAAGGCCAGGGGAGCGAAAGGGAUUAGAUACCCCUGUAGUCCUGGCAGUAAACGGUGCACGCUUGGUGUGCGGGGAAUCGACCCCCUGCGUGCCGGAGCUAACGCGUUAAGCGUGCCGCCUGGGGAGUACGGUCGCAAGAUUAAAACUCAA